rnacentral:rRNA from 1 species
AUUGAACGCUGGCGGCAUGCCUUACACAUGCAAGUCGAACGGUAACAGGCCGCAAGGUGCUGACGAGUGGCGAACGGGUGAGUAAUGCAUCGGAACGUGCCCAGUCGUGGGGGAUAAAUGCUCGAAAGAGCAGCUAAUACCGCAUACGACCUGAGGGAGAACGCGGGGGACCGUAAGGUCUCGCGCGAUUGGAGCGGCCGAUGUCAGAUUAGCUAGUUGGUGGGGUAAAGGCCUACCAAGGCAACGAUCUGUAGUUGGUCUGAGAGGACGACCAGCCACACUGGGACUGAGACACGGCCCAGACUCCUACGGGAGGCAGCAGUGGGGAAUUUUGGACAAUGGGCGCAAGCCUGAUCCAGCAAUGCCGCGUGCAGGAAGAAGGCCUUCGGGUUGUAAACUGCUUUUGUCAGGGAAGAAAUCUUCUGGGCUAAUACCCCGGGAGGAUGACGGUACCUGAAGAAUAAGCACCGGCUAANUANGUGCCAGCAGCCGCCGUAAAAC